rnacentral:rRNA from 1 species
UACGUAGGCGGCAAGCGUUGUUCGGAGUUACUGGGCGUAAAGAGUGCGUAGGCGGUCCUGUAAGUUUGGUGUGAAAUCUCCCGGCUCAACUGGGAGGGUGCGCCGAAGACUGCAGGGCUUGAGUAUGGGAGAGGUAAGCGGAAUUCCUGGUGUAGCGGUGAAAUGCGUAGAUAUCAGGAGGAACACCUGUGGUGUAGACAGCUUACUGGACCAUAACUGACGCUGAGGCACGAAAGCGUGGGUAGCAAACAGG